ensembl:lncRNA
ACGAGUGCGCAUGUGCGAGACGAACAGGCACCGCAGCCCUGCGCUGUGGCCCGUUUCACAGGCAGAGACACCGAGGCCGGAAGGCUCAGCCGCCAGUUUCGCCCCGCCAGGAACCCAGCCAGCCCGGAGCCAGGCUUCAGCGGAGCCGGCUGACCUCUGACCCCGCCGUGUGCCCCUCUGCACUCGACUCGCCCUCGGAGUUAAGAACCUCCACGUUGCCAUCCAUCCAAUGGGUAUCCGGGCCCUGCCCCCCCACCCCUGCCCCCGAGUGCUGUUACCAUGGGGACAGUUCCUGUCCUUCAGGAAGCAGGGAGAGCAGUUUCCUGUUUUGAAGAAGGCUCGAGGGCUGUUUUCCUCCAAUCAGCCUGCCCAGAGAGGGGCAGGAAGCCUAGGGCCGGGCCACCCCUGCCGCUGAGUGUGUGGUGGAGCCGUGCCCACGCCCAGCCGGCCAGGAGGGGCCUCGUGGAAAUGCAGCCUCGGGAAAAAGCCAACGGGGCAGCAGAAAGGAAAAAAAAAAUAUGGCUGGCCGGAAGAGGGCGGUCACUUCCUCCACAGACCUUGGAUCCCACCCAGUGGUGAUAAAAACUCUGAGCGGCCCUGCCCGGCCCCGGACUCCGCUCUCCCCCACGCUCAGCCCUUCCUCGGGGCGUCAGAAGCCAGCUGGACAAAGGCCUUCGAGGCCCCUGCUUGUCCCCCUCAGCUAUGUGCAUCCUGGACGCAUCAGCCCCAUUGGGCUCCCGCUGGCCCCCAGUUCCUACCCCCACCCUGUGCAGCAGCUCUCUCCUGCUCCAGUCUGCUUGUGUGAUUUUUUUUUUUUUUUUUUUUUCAGGGUGCAGAGCAAAGCCUGCCUCCUCCUGGAAGGCUUCCUUGCAUGGAUUUGAACUCUGCAUCUUGAAUCAGCAGCAUGCGUGAACUUAGGCCUAAUCUCUCUCUCAGGGGCCCUGCUCCCAGCCUCCGUGGGUCAGCCUGCCUCCAGGCUUGCCCCUCUGGCUCCUCUCCCACUCUGGCUACCACACACGUCUGGCCCAGUCCCCCCCCCUCCCCUAUAAAUACUCGGAGCCUUCCUGUCACCUGCAGUGCACAGUCCAGACUCUGGCUGGCCGUUGGAGACCUUGCCCCAGGCCUGCCCUCUUCCAUCCCCACCUGGAAUGGCAACCUUGCCCUCCCCCUUAAACGCCGCUUGACCUUUAAAGCACAGCCCCUUGUCACCAGCCCUUCCCCAGCCCCACGGCCCAACUCAGUCCUCUGCCUUCACCCCCAGCUCUACCGUGCCACGAUGAGCUGACCCAAGCCCUUUUCUCAGAGCAAACCACGAGCUCCUCAAGUACAGGAAAGGGAAGAGAGAGGGGAACUCACAUCCUUCAACCCUCGCCACGACCCGAGAGAAAGGUCUCCUGUUCCCAUUUUACAGAGGACAAAAUCGAGGUGCACGGAGUCGAGGUUUCCCCCCACCCCAAGGCCACAGGUGAUUGCUCCACUCCCUCCUUCGCAUCCAUAUUCAAGUGGACGCCUCCCUCCCCCCGCACCAGCACCUCCACUGCCUCCUCCCGCAGCAGCAGCGACACGACGACAUCACGCCUGCCACCCUCACCGUGACUGCCACAGCUACUCCCAGCCCCUCGCUACCCCC